UUUCAAAGUAUUUUUUAACCAUUUAUUUUAUAGAUGAACCAAAAACUUUGGCUGAAACAAAAACUAAGUCAACUUGCUUGAAAAUGUUCUGGUCUAAGGGGGCAUUUUCCCAGGUUCAUUCCUUUUUUUUUUUUUUUUUUUUUGCACAAGGUCAGACCUCCUAUUGAAUGUUGUUUCCCGAAAUGAGGAUGCUUCAUUUGUAAUCCAAGUAAAGUCACCAAGGAACAUAAAUAGCUUCCUGACCUCACUGGGGCUGAGCUCCAUGCUCUGUUAGCUGGCUAAGCAGAGCAUAGUGAAGGCCCAUCUAACCCUGGACGGAAAGACAGGCUGCGAGUGUACAGUGUUCCAGGAGAAGCAGGACUUGGAAAGACCUGGGAGCAUUUUCCACUGGGACUUUGCCUCUGAAUGUGAGGAGGUCAUGCUGACUUCCUCUGAGUUUUCUUACUUUGUUAUGUUUGCUCAUUUCCAAGAUCUCUAGCUUGCUCUCCCUAUGCUGAAAGAGGACACUCUUAGAGCUGAGGCCAUGUUUUGGUUUUAAUUGGCAGUCUCAUCCCACCUGGCCCAAUGUCUUAGGCAUGUGUGUGUGCAUGCUCGGCC
rnacentral:lncRNA from 1 species